AAGCAGCAUCCAGAGGGAGCACCUGGAUCUUUUUCUCAUCACCAGCUUAGUGAAGCCAGAGAGGAAAGGCAAGGACUCCGCUGGUACUGCGAUGUUUGUGUUUCGAUACGGGCACACGGUGGGGCCUCUUUUUGAAAGGCACUGGAGGAGGAGUUGGAUAUGGCUGCUGUCAUUUUUCUAGCCUGUUCUGGUGACAUCAGGCCUGGGUAAAGGCCUGGGGUAGGGUGAGAAGCUGCCCUGUGGGCUGGCUGGUUCCAUGUGCUGUCCUUUCCUGGCCACAGGAGGGGCAAAAGCUUGGUCCCUCAUCCUCCACCCCGAGAGACCCUGAGAGACAUAGGGAAGGUCGGAAGGUCUCUGUGGCCAGGUAGUGUUUCCUCUGUUUACUUUUUUUUUUUUUUUUUGGUACUGGGGAUUGAACCCAGGGGCACUUUACCACUGAGCCACUUCCCCAGCCCUUUUUAUUUUUUUAUUUUGAGGCAGGGUCUUGCUCAUAAGUUGUUGAGGUUGGCCUUGGAUUUACAAUCCUCCUGCCCCAGCCUCCCAGUUUGCUGAGAUUACAGGUGUGCACCACCACACCCAGCACAGUGUUCCCUCUGGAGUCCAGGUCUGGAGUUCUGGGGUGGAAAGAGGGCCCAGUGGUGGAUGUGUUGGCUUUAACCUGAGAGAUACUGGGGGGGGGUACCCUCCUGGGCCAGCCAGUGGUUACUGGGGCAUGACCUCUAGGGCCUAUACUGGACAAGGCAGGGAGAUCUGUAAGCUCCAGAUCCCACUCUAGCCCUGGGGGAUAGUGAGAGAGCCCCAAGCUGGGGGAAUAAACCUCAGCCCAAGUUCCUUCUGGGGAAGCCCCAGGACCAACUUUCAGCCUCUCCCUCCCUUUCAUCCUGGAUGCUGACUUCACACACCAGCCGCCCAGCAGCUGCACCUGCCUUGACUUUAGGGUCUAUUCUUUCCCUUCUACUGCCCUGACCCGAUUUUGUGCCUGUCCUUUUGGUAUGGAGACAGUGUCCAGGUGUGAGUGAGUGACCGUGUGUGUAGGGAAAGAUGAUGUGGGGCAAGCUGGAGCCUGGAGAGGAAGUCACGUGAGGCGGUGGGUGUGUGGGGAGUCUAAGAGGAGGUACAGGGAGCCCUGGUGUGCUGUGGUGUGGUUACCGGGUGUCCUUGUUUUUAGAAAAGCCUGCCUCCCUUGUUUCCCAUCUUCUGUCCCUUCCAGACAUUCCCUGAGCAUCAUUGACCUGCAGGAAAAUUAUCUCUGCUCUAGGGCGAUCUUGGGCCCUCUCAGCCCUUGGAUUGCUAAGAAGAAAUGCAUCCAAGUUCUGCUCCUUUCUACCUCUGGCAUAGCUUUCCGAUCCGAAAAUGUCCUGUCUUGUUCUGUCUCCCUGAGAAGAGAAUCUUUUGGGGUGCAAGAAAGGCUCUGGCAGGACUAUUGAGGCUGUGUGUCCAUUUGAGAUAGGGGGACAGGUGGCUGCAGUGAAGGACAUUCUAGUUUAGGUGGAACAUCGCUCCAGAGGAGCCUUGUUCGGGGCUUGGAUGAGUGUCCAGGGCGAAAGCAGCCUGGGGGUGCAGCUGCUGAGAGCUGGGGGGGAACCGAGGACUAUGGAGACCCCUCACCCUUGCUUCACAAAUAGGCAAUGAGGCUGGGGGAAUGACUUCACCCCACCCCUACCACCUGGCAGCCCCAGAUGCCAGGACAGGUGAGAGCAGAAGCCCCGCCUCCCAGCAGGGAGCCAGCUGCCUCUCCCCUCCUGGAAGGGAGGGCAGCAUUCAGGCCUGCGCUGGAGGAGCCACUGCAGCCCUGAGCCAAGGGUGUUGGGUGGGUGACCUUUCACAAAAUCUGUCCUUCCCUUUAUACUGCUUUUGGAAGUCUAACUCUCCUGAAAGGACAAAGAACCCCAGGCCUGGAGGCAGAGGGGCUGCAGGGUCAAGGGCAGGAGUGUGGGGCUGCCUUCCAUCAGCCUUGUGCCCAUCAGAGCCUGUGUGCAGUGAGGUCCAGGGUCAACCAGGCAGGUGUCUGGGUGUCCCUGGCCACUGUCGCUUCCUGAGCUAAUGACCGUAUGGAAACGGGCAGGUCUUUCUACCCCAGGACACACUCACUCAUAGUCUAUGCCAGGCCCUUCCCCAUCUUUGCUCAGCACUAACUACAUUGUCCUGGUCCCCCACGUAUGGCCUCAAGGUCACACUAGUGCCAAUUCUGCCAAGGACUGCCAGUCAGCCUGAGGCCACGUGGGCUGAGUCACAUCAUCCUGGAACAUCUAUUCUGUGUCCUGCCUGCCAUUUGCUGCCCUGGGAUGAUGUGGAUGGAAGGGUCUGCUGCUUAGGAGAGGGUGCGAGGCUGUGGAGCCUGGGCCAAGACUUGAGUAAGGAUCAAGAGGGGCCAGGACCCAUGCCUCUGUCCAUGGGCUACAGCAGCAGCUAAGCUUGAAUGCUUCUGUCCCUUUCUGGAGGGAAGAGGCAGCUGGGCCCUGCUGUCCUGGCACUUGGGGCUGCUGGGAUGAGGGGGGAGCCAGCAGAGCUCCAUCUUGUCAGGUGUGGCUCAGAGGCAGGGAACUAGACUCUAGUGAGUCCUCAGAAGCUCCCAGCUCCUUCAGGGCUUCAGCUAAGAGCUUGUUUCUGGAAAGGGCAGUCUCCUCCCUCCCUCCUCUCACCCUGUUAAGUCCACCCUCAGGGCCUGGAGCUCUGGAAGGGAGUCUCAUCCAGAGCUCAGGCCACCAGCACCAGCUGUUCCCUGCCACCGUCUUCUCCCAACCACCACUCCCAAGCAGGGCCACAGAUCAGGGACAGUGGAGUCACUUCACAAAAUCCAGACAGGUUUAUUUCUGGGGCUCUGGCCUUCUCCUCAGGAGGGGCCCGUGCUCCUGUGCCCUCUCCAACCCUCAGCAGCGCUUGCCCAACUGGCCUCGGGCCUCUUCCCUUUGUCCCACCUUCCUCUCCUGUAUGGCUACCAGCCAGGACGCUGGGCAGUAGAUGACGGGUACAUCUUCAGGCUGCUGGAGGUAGGUCCGCCUGUCUGUCCUGGAGCACAGAAAUUGAGAGCUGGGGAAUCCCCAGACAGCGGCCACAGGCGCCUGGCUCCUUAAACUGGAGAGGAAUCUCAAACUGGGGAAGGGAAAACAGGCCUUCAAAGGAGAGAUUUCACUUUAAUGACACCAUUCAUCAUUCGUUUUUUUUAAUUAGGAAAAACUCCCUAAUGAGGCUCUUUUGGCAGCUAAUGGGACUCUCAAUUUCCAUGAGAACCAUUAUUGCCCAGAGCAUUAGGGGAACCACUGCUCACCACACCAGGACUUUCCUCCAGAGUGCAGAUGCAAUGCGGGGAAUCCCUCUCCCGCAUCAUGGGUGUUGCUCCCAAGCUGGCUGCAAAGCACUGGCCGAUUCUCCUCUGCCUUAAAAACAGUGCCCAACAGUGAACUGCCCCCCACCCCCACCGCCCCAGGACUUGAGUAAGUGGGAGGAAAAAAAAAAAAAACCAAACUGCAAUG
rnacentral:lncRNA from 1 species